GUGCUCUCUUCGACAGCACAUAUACUGCCGAACAGUAAAGAGAAGAUUAGCAUGGCCCCUGUGCGAGGAUGACACGCAAAUUCGUUAAGUGUUCCGUAUUUUU